GGGGAUAUAGCUCAAAUGGUAGAACACAUGCUUAGCACACCCGAGGUCCUGGGUUCAAUCCCCAGUACCUCCU
rfam:Camelus ferus unplaced genomic scaffold scaffold1046, whole genome shotgun sequence.